AGUGAACGCUGGCGGUAGGCCUAACACAUGCAAGUCGAACGGCAGCACAGUAAGAGCUUGCUCUUACGGGUGGCGAGUGGCGGACGGGUGAGGAAUACAUCGGAAUCUACUUUUUCGUGGGGGAUAACGUAGGGAAACUUACGCUAAUACUGCAUACGACCUACGGGUGAAAGCAGGGGAUCUUCGGACCUUGCGCGAUUGAAUGAGCCGAUGUCGGAUUAGCUAGUUGGCGGGGUAAAGGCCCACCAAGGCGACGAUCCGUAGCUGGUCUGAGAGGAUGAUCAGCCACACUGUAACUGAGACACGGUCCAGACUCCUACGGGAGGCAGCAGUGGGGAAUAUUGGACAAUGGGCGCAAGCCUGAUCCAGCCAUACCGCGUGGGUGAAGAAGGCCUUCGGGUUGUAGAGCCCUUUUGUUGGGAAAGAAAAGCAGCAGGUUAAUACCCCGCUGUUCUGACGGUACCCAAAGAAUAAGCACCGGCUAACUUCGUG
rnacentral:rRNA from 1 species